GUUUGUCUUUGAGCAAGUUGCUUUACCUCUCUGUCCUGUGUUUUCCACGCCCCAAAUGGAAGUAUUAAUGGUUACCUCCACGAGGUAACUAACACUGUUGUGAAAGCAGACGCGGGACGUGGCAGUGCUGUGCAAAUUGCAUCAGUAUCAGCUAAUAUAUUGUGAGUUCUCACUACAUAACAGACACUAUACUGAGCCCUCGACGCGCUUUAAGUAAUUUAACCUUUAGAGGAGGCAAAUGCAGCAACCAUUAUGUUAUUCCCUUUCACAGACGAGAAGACCAUGGCUUAGUUGGAAAGAGUGAGUAACUUCCCAGAAGUUACUACGUCACUCCAUUACUGAGGGCCGGGAUCCGAACUCAAAGUCAGCUGUGUGUGGGCUCGGAACCCUCGGCCAUCACACUUCCUCGACCCCAGAGAGGAUACAGUGCUAGGGAACGCAAAGCGUAGAUUGUCAUUGGCCCCCUGAUGUGAUCCUUCGGACUGUCACCCAACGCCAGGGCCAAGAAAAUGAAAGAGUGUUUAGACUGCCGGUAGGUGGUGAACAGAGAGGCCGGCUUUAAAGGGCCUGGACGGUGUAAGCAUGGCCUGGGGAUGGGCCCCAGAGAGAAUGCAGCUCUCCUAAGCCAGCAUUUGCUGAGACCCUAAGAGGAGAAAAUUCUAGAUUCUUAAGAAAGUUCCAGUGAAGCUCCACUCAUCCAGGAAAAGAAGUCUGGGCCGUUUCAGACUUCCAUCUACAAUUUCUGAGAAGGAAAAAGAAAAUGUGUUCACGGAACGGACUCCAAAAACCUUGCAAAUGUGCCCAGGAUGUUAUUCCUUCGGUGUAAGUAACUUCAAAACAUCUGUAAAUUCCAGCCAACUCUUCAUGCCCCCGAUCUCUCUGUGCUUUAACACUUUGUGAAAAUUAAUCAGUCGGAUGACGUUGCGAUUCAAUGUGAGGAAUUAGGACAACGACGAAUUAAGGAAGCAUUUGUUUUUGGAAGACACCAUACAGGCUGGGUAC
rnacentral:lncRNA from 1 species